rnacentral:rRNA from 1 species
GCUAAACGCGAAGAACCUUACCUGGCCUUGACAUGUCCGGAAUCCUGCAGAGAUGCGGGAGUGCCUUCGGGAAUCGGAACACAGGUGCUGCAUGGCUGUCGUCAGCUCGUGUCGUGAGAUGUUGGGUUAAGUCCCGCAACGAGCGCAACCCUUGUCCUUAGUUGCCAGCACGUAAUGGUGGGAACUCUAAGGAGGCUGCCGGUGACAAACCGGAGGAAGGUGGGGAUGACGUCAAGUCCUCAUGGCCCUUACGGCCAGGGCUACACACGUACUACAAUGGUCGGUACAGAGGGUUGCCAAACCGCAAGGUGGAGCCAAUCCCAGAAAGCCGAUCCCAGUCCGGAUCGGAGUCUGCAACUCGACUCCGUGAAGUCGGAAUCGCUAGUAAUCGCGGAUCAGCUAUGCCGCGGUGAAUACGUUCCCGGGUCUUGUACACACCG